AAUAUAUAGUAUUGUUAAUUAACCUCAGUAGUUAAUGUGUACUUUGAGUAAUACCAUGAUUCUUUGAAGAACGCAAUGUGCUAAAGUGCGUGUGCAACAGGUCUCGAGGUCUACAGUACUGGCAAUCAGCAGAUGUGACGUCGUGUAGAACCCAGAGGGAGCGGAGUUUGAUUCAUCUUGCGACAGUCGUACAAACGUCUUGUGCCCUGCUUAAUAUGCAAAAAAAAACAAGGUCUUGAUGUGGACAACAAACGUUCAAUCUGUAAAGUUCCAGGUUUUUUUUCACAAUUAUGAACAACUCCACUCGCAAGCCUCUAUAAUAAGAUAGUGCUGAUGCUGAUUUUUUUUUUUUUAUCUUACAAUAAUAUAUAGUAUUGUUAAUUAACCUCAGUAGUUAAUGUGUACUUUGAGUAAUACCAUUGUCAUAGCGCCCCUAAACACUGCAUUUUGUCAUGGAUGUUGCCGCUAUACAAAUCCUUUUUGAUUGAUUGAUGCUGUCAUUUAAAUAAAUUUUUAUUUAAUUUCAGAAAUCUACUUGAAGAUCAAGUUGUUGUACACAAGAACUUGACAGUGUCCUUGUUCUUCGCUCAACUUAUAUUCCUGACAGCUGUAAAUGCAACAAAAAAUACUACUGUGUGUCAGAUUGUCGCUAUCAGUUUGCAUUUCUUUUACACCGCAUCGUUCUGUUGGAUGUUAGUGGAAGGCAUCAACUUGUACUUUAAGGUUGUCAGGGUGUUCAACAAAAGUAACAAGCUACGAUGCUUCUACCUUAUUGGAUGGGGCACACCAGUUAUUAUUGUGGGUAUUUCAUUUGGCAUUGGUGCAAAUGGAUAUGGGACAGAUGAUUAGU